rnacentral:misc_RNA from 1 species
UCCGGUUUGAAGCCGGCGGUCCCGCUAGACAUGGUAACUAACGGCGAGGGUUGCGCUCGUUGCGGGACUUAACCCAACACCUCACGGCACGAGCUGACGACAGCCAUGCAGCACCUGUGUUACGGUUCCCUUUCGGGCACACCUCCAUCUCUGGAGGCUUCCGUACAUGUCAAGGGUAGGUAAGGUUUUUCGCGUUGCAUCGAAUUAAUCCACAUAAUCCACCGCUUGUGCGGGUCCCCGUCAAUUCCCUUGAGUUUUAAUCUUGCGACCGUACUCCCCAGGCGGGAUGCUUAAAGCGUUAGCUGCGCCACUGACGGGUAAACCCGCCAACGGCUAGCAUCCACCGUUUACGGCGUGGACUAC